UUUGGGUGUUUUUUUGCUUAGCUUCCAAUCAGGAGUUGGGUGAACGAUGACAUUCGGAGAAGGCGAUUAGGCUCGCCCCAUGGUGGUGGAUGACAUGUCCACAUGGAGGCGCCUUAAUUUAUUCUUCUUACUGGAGAGGGGUAAAAGAUCAGGUUUUGCCAUUUGGGCGAUCGAUUCGCCAUCGAUUAGUAACUGAUGCUUAGCUUCUUGCUUUCGCCGUUCGAUCCGCCGAUUUGUGCGAGCGAACAGUGUUUAUUUCCUCUUCGGUUAAGAAUGGGAUUUUAAUUAUUCGUCAAUUGGAUAGGAAUUUUGAUUUUUUUUUUCCCCGCCUAUUUCUUGCUUUUGUGCAAGAACUGGGUUUGAAUCUGAUGCGUGAUGGGUUUUGAUUUGUUCUCUGGCUGGUGUAUAGUACAAUUAGGGUUUGUCUGUAUGCAAGAGAGGAUGGGAAUCAUCUCUUUAGCAAAAAGGGAGGGUUAGCAUUUGUAGUUUGGUUUGGGGUCUGGGUCGCACAAUUAAAUAGGGGUUUUCCAUAUCCAUUUCUUUGGAAUACAAUGCACACUGCACACUGCACAAUUGCAUCCAUUUUCUUUUUAUCAUUUCAUGGAUGAUGCUUUUGGUUUGCAUGGAGCUUCUCUUGGUUGUUGUUUUAUUUGGUUUCGUUAGUAGUUAUAACUAAGGUUGCAUGCAGUGAAAAGUUGGAAAUUCUUUGUUUGCUUCGACUUUCUUGAGGGAAAUAAACAUGAUACAUAUAUUGCUCUAGACCUAAACUAACCUGCUGUUUUCUGUUUUCUGUUUUCGACGCAUUAUUCAUGGCCAGUUUUGGGCAGGUAGAAACUGAUGAAUGACAGGCAAUUUCCUGAUCGAAAAUUGUGGUUCAAAAAGAUUGUUUCCUUUUCAUUGCAUGCUGCAAGUUAAUACUUUAAGCUUCUGUGAGAAACAUUUACUUAAUGCAUCCACCUAAAACCUUCUGGACAUAUUAUUGUGAUUGUUUCAAGCUAUGGAGGUAGCAUCCAAGGGGCUUCCCACCAAAGGAAAAGAAUCUCUUUCUGGGAUUGAUGGCAAGGAACAUUCAGAGAUAUGCAAUCAUUUUACCAUUUGGUAAUAUCAAAUGUGCACAUGAAGGGAUAUCAAAUUUGAAGAGAAUCAAGAUAGUUCGUGCAAACUUACCUCUGCUUUUUCUGUAGAUGAAUCUCAAGUAGGAAAAGACAAAACUAGAAUGGCUGUUUGUAAAAACAAUUCUGCCAUUGCUUCUCUCUCAUAAGUAUUCUCAUACUGUUUGUAACAAACCAAAUGGAGGUGCUAGCACUGGAGGUUCUAAAGGAUUUCUGAAAUUAAGCAGCACCAAUCUGGCAGCACAGAGAGGCAGUCAAGGGACCAAUUCAAAAGGAAAAACUGAUGUAAUCAAUGAGAGUAGAAAGAUGCUUGGAACUGAUCUUGGUGCUGCAAAAGAUAAUACUCUAACUACCAUCUCAGAUAAGAUCUUCAAUUGUAAUUCAGUGGAUUUAGAGCAGAGAAACCAUGAAGCGUCACACUGUAAUAUGCAUUUGUUGAAUAGUGUGAGCUCUCGUCGAAUCA